UAAUUAUCCGGGCUACACGCGGGCUACAAUGGUCAGGACAAUGGGUAUCAACACCGAAAGGUGAAGGCAAUCUCCUAAACCUGUCCUUAGUUCGGAUUGUGGGCUGCAACUCGCCCACAUGAAGCUGGAAUCUGUAGUAAUCGCGUCUCAACAUGGCGCGGUGAAUAUGUCCCUGCCUCCUU
rnacentral:rRNA from 1 species